UACCAGCACCCCGAGUGGUCGGGACGUUUUAUUGGGCCUAAAGCAUCCGUAGCCGGUUCUGCAAGUCUCCGUUAAAUCCACCUGCUUAACAGAUGGGCCGCGGAAGAUACUAUAGAGCUAGGAGGCGGGAGAGGCAAGCGGUACUCGAUGGGUAGGGGUAAAAUCCGUUGAUCCAUUGAAGACCACCAGUGGCGAAGGCGGCUUGCCAGAACGCGCUCGACGGUGAGGGAUGAAAGCUGGGGGAGCAAACCGGAUUAAGAA
rnacentral:rRNA from 1 species